rnacentral:rRNA from 1 species
AUUGAACGCUGGCGGCAGGCCUAACACAUGCAAGUCGAGCGGAUGAAGGGAGCUUGCUCCUGGAUUCAGCGGCGGACGGGUGAGUAAUGCCUAGGAAUCUGCCUGGUAGUGGGGGAUAACGUCCGGAAACGGGCGCUAAUACCGCAUACGUCCUGAGGGAGAAAGUGGGGGAUCUUCGGACCUCACGCUAUCAGAUGAGCCUAGGUCGGAUUAGCUAGUUGGUGGGGUGAAGGCCUACCAAGGCGACGAUCCGUAACUGGUCUGAGAGGAUGAUCAGUCACACUGGAACUGAGACACGAUCCAGACUCCUACGGGAGGCAGCAGUGGGGAAUAUUGGACAAUGGGCGAAAGCCUGAUCCAGCCAUGCCGCGUGUGUGAAGAAGGUCUUCGGAUUGUAAAGCACUUUAAGUUGGGAGGAAGGGCAGUAAGUUAAUACCUUGCUGUUUUGACGUUACCAACAGAAUAAGCACCGGCUAACUUCGUG